UACGGAGGGUGCAAGCGUUGUCCGGAUUUAUUGGGUUUAAAGGGUACGUAGGUGGAUCUUUAAGUCCGUGGUGAAAGCCUGCAGCUUAACUGCAGAACUGCCAUGGAUACUGGAGAUCUUGAAUUCAGUUGAGGUUGGCGGAAUUUAUGAUGUAGCGGUGAAAUGCAUAGAUAUCAUAAAGAACACCUAUUGCGAAGGCAGCUAACUGGACUUGAAUUGACACUGAGGUACGAAAGCGUGGGGAGCGAACAGG
rnacentral:rRNA from 1 species